rnacentral:rRNA from 1 species
CCCUACGGGGGGCAGCAGUGAGGAAUAUUGGUCAAUGGACGGAAGUCUGAACCAGCCAUGCCGCGUGAGUGAUGACGGCCUUCGGGUUGUAAAGCUCUGUCUUCAGGGACGAUAAUGACGGUACCUGAGGAGGAAGCCACGGCUAACUACGUGCCAGCAGCCGCGGUAAUACGUAGGUGGCAAGCGUUGUCCGGAUUUACUGGGUGUAAAGGGCGUGUAGCCGGGUUGACAAGUCAGAUGUGAAAUCCUGCGGCUUAACCGCAGAACUGCAUUUGAAACUGUUGAUCUUGAGUACUGGAGAGGCA